UUGAAAAAUGCUUAUUUCCAGAUUUCCUCUCAUUUUUUCUCUCAUUAAAAUAUUUUACUUUGCUGAAAACUUUUCAAACCACAGAUAAAUACAAAAACCUGCCCAAUUUUUUGAUGCUCUGGUUUCGAAUUUCCAGGAUCUUGUGUUUGCUGCAGAGGAUGAUGAUAUAGAGAGAAAACAACUUGACUCUCAGGCUGCACACCUCCUCCUCCUCCACCACCACCACCACCACCACCACCACCACCUCCUCCUCUCCUGUCCCAUGGAUGACAAAUGACUAGCAGGCACAGAGGCUUAUGUCAGCCUGCAAAAGAGGAUCCACCCGCUCCAGAAGAACAUCCCAGUCCCAGCACAGGAGUUGGCGUCUGCCGGGCACAGUCAGCAACAAAUACUGAAUUAAUAAGAGCACAGGCUUUUGUGGAUGUAAGCAUAGUUUGUGAUUUAGUGUCUGCUGACUGAAUAUUUGGCUUUUUUUUAAGGUUUCUGGAAAGUGAUGAAGUAACACAGGUUUGUUUUGAUGCACUUUGAUUAAAAUUCAUAAACAAA